rnacentral:rRNA from 1 species
CUGUGAGUGUGAUGCGUAGCGGUGAACUUAAGCCCCAGUAAACGGCGGUGGUAACUAUAACCAUCCUAAGGUAGCGAAAUUCCUUGUCGGGUAAGUUCCGACCUGCACGAAUGGAGUAACGAUUUCCCUACUGUCUCCACCAUGAACUCGGUGAAAUUGCAUUACGAGUAAAGAUGCUCGUUACGCGCAGCAGGACGGAAAGACCCCGGGACCUUUACUAUAGUUUGGUAUUGGUGAUUGGGACGGUUUGUGUAGGAUAGGUGGGAG